rnacentral:rRNA from 1 species
AUUGAACGCUGGCGGAAUGCUUUACACAUGCAAGUCGAACGGCAGCAUAGGUGCUUGCACCUGAUGGCGAGUGGCGAACGGGUGAGUAAUACAUCGGAACGUGCCCAGUCGUGGGGGAUAACGUAGCGAAAGUUACGCUAAUACCGCAUACGAUCUAAGGAUGAGAGCGGGGGACCGUAAGGCCUCGCGCGAUUGGAGCGUCCGAUGUCAGAUUAGGUAGUUGGUGGGGUAAAGGCUCACCAAGCCGACGAUCUGUAGCUGGUCUGAGAGGACGACAAGCCACACUGGGAAUGGGAAACUGCCCAGAGUCCUACGGAAGGCAGCAGUGGGGAAUUUUGGACAAUGGACGCAAGUCUGAUCCAGCCAUUCCGCGUGCAGGACGAAGGCCUUCGGGUUGUAAACUGCUUUUGUACGGAACGAAAAAGCUCUUACUAAUACUAGGAGUCCAUGACGGUACCGUAAGAAUAAGCACCGGCUAACUACGUGCCAGCCGCCGCCGUAA